ACCAGUACCGCUGCUCCUGGUAUAGCCAAGGAAGUGUCUGUGCUUCAGGGCCGUCUAAGAAUGUGCACAUCAAAGCAACUGAAAACUACAUAUAAGCCAUAAAAUCUAUUCAUUUGGUAACAAUGCAUUGCAUGUAUUUUUCUUACCUCCGAUUCCAAAAGAAUCAUUCUACAAAUUGUGAAGCUAAGUAAUAAUCAAGAAGCUAUUGCAGCAGCUGCAUCCAAUUAAUGAAGAAGAAAAAAUAAUUCCUAUGGUAAGUAAACCAGCAAACAUUUCAUUGGCAACAAAUUUAGCACAUAAUCUUUUUAGCUAACAUAGAUAUGCCUAUAACAUAACUCUUAGAAGAUAUCACUUUGGCUUAAGGGUUGAGGGUGUUUGCAAGAUGACCAUCAAAUGCUAAUUCUUAAAAGGUAUGACAAAAAAAAACUCAAUCAAAUUUGACUUAUUCAUAACCAAGGCACACAGAGAACUGAAUAAGCAACAAUAGCAAACUUCAAAAGUUCCUAGUACAUAAACAGCAGCUUUUAUUUGGACUUCAAGUGGUUUAUGAUCUAGAAUCUUGAGUGCAAAGCAGUAAUUGGAGCAAUAGGUUAAAUCCUGACACAAAAUUCAUAGGGCAAAUCCAAAAAGAAAACAAAAUGAAAAGUCAUGUUAUUGUGUCAAAGAUUUUACACCUUAUAUACACUUAUUUGCCAGUAAUAAAGAGUAGUUUAGCCUCUGAGUCUGAAAUCCAUAAACAGUUGCAAAUAGAGCAAAAAAUUUAAACCAUCUAUGGAAGUGGCAACAUAAUCACUUCGAUCACAUGGAAUUAGAGAUUUUAUUUCUUGGGAACCCAAACCAACAGAUUACUAACCUUUACCAGACAAAUAAAUAAUAAACUUCUCUCAUGAGUUCACGAGCUAUUAAUCACCAGUAGCAAAUUUCAAAAUGAAUGCA
rnacentral:misc_RNA from 1 species